rnacentral:rRNA from 1 species
UACGUAGGGACCAAGCGUUGUUCGGAUUUACUGGGCGUAAAGGGCGCGUAGGCGGCGCAACAAGUCACUUGUGAAAUCUCCGGGCUUAACCCGGAGCGGCCAAGUGAUACUGUCGUGCUAGAGUGCGGAAGGGGCUACUGGAAUUCCCGGUGUAGCGGUGAAAUGCGUAGAUAUCGAGAGGAACACCUGCGGCGAAGGCGGGUAGCUGGGCCGACACUGACGCUGAGGCGCGAAAGCCAGGGGAGCGAACGGG